rnacentral:lncRNA from 1 species
AAAGUAAAGUCCCUGGUUCCUAUUUAAUUUUUAUCUUUUGUUUUUUCAGGGCCCAGAUCCCAAACCUGAGAUCAUGAUGAUGGUGAGCCCAUCUCAUUCAGUUGAACCGUUGGUAUUGCUGGUCACAUGAUCCCACUCUGGACGGCAGCCCACCUCCCACACCACUCAUGGAAGAUUUAUGACGAUGAAGUCUGAGACCCCUUCACCGUCCUGCCAGCCUGAAACUCCCUCCGCUUUCUGACUUUAGAGGUAAGAAUAAAGUGAUCGAUCAAAUAUCUGACAGUAUUCUCUUUAACUGUGACUGUAAAAUGCUUUUUUGUGAAUUUUGUUAGUUUUUUUGUGUAAACAAGCAGUUCUCCAGUAUAAAAAGCUUCCUGCUGAAGAACAAUCAAAGUUUUUGAUCUAUAUAAAUUUAAGUAGA